GACGAACGCUGGCGGCGUGCUUAACACAUGCAAGUCGAACGGAAAGGCCCUGCUUUUGUGGGGUGCUCGAGUGGCGAACGGGUGAGUAACACGUGAGUAACCUGCCCUUGACUUUGGGAUAACUUCAGGAAACUGGGGCUAAUACCGGAUAGGAGCUCCUGCUGCAUGGGGGGGGUUGGAAAGUUUCGGCGGUUGGGGAUGGACUCGCGGCUUAUCAGCUUGUUGGUGGGGUAGUGGCUUACCAAGGCUUUGACGGGUAGCCGGCCUGAGAGGGUGACCGGCCACAUUGGGACUGCGAUACGGCCCAGACUCCUACGGGAGGCAGAAGUGGGGAAUAUUGCACAGUGGGCGGAAGCCUGAUGCAGCAACGCCGCGUGCGGGAUGACGGCCUUCGGGUUGUAAACCGCUUUCGCCUGUGACGAAGCGUGAGUGACGGUAAUGGGUAAAGAAGCACCGGCUAACUACGUG
rnacentral:rRNA from 1 species